rnacentral:snRNA from 1 species
UUCUCUUUCUCCUUAUUUUCGUC